rnacentral:rRNA from 1 species
AGCGAACGCUGGCGGCAGGCUUAACACAUGCAAGUCGAGCGGGCACCGUCGGGUGUCAGCGGCAGACGGGUGAGUAACACGUGGGAACGUACCCUUCGGUUCGGAAUAACGCUGGGAAACUAGCGCUAAUACCGGAUACGCCCUUAUGGGGAAAGGUUUACUGCCGAAGGAUCGGCCCGCGUCUGAUUAGCUAGUUGGUGGGGUAACGGCCUACCAAGGCGACGAUCAGUAGCUGGUCUGAGAGGAUGAUCAGCCACACUGGGACUGAGACACGGCCCAGACUCCUACGGGAGGCAGCAGUGGGGAAUAUUGGACAAUGGGCGCAAGCCUGAUCCAGCCAUGCCGCGUGAGUGAUGAAGGCCUUAGGGUUGUAAAGCUCUUUUGUCCGGGACGAUAAUGACGUUACCGGAAGAAUAAGCCCCGGCUAACUUCGUG